GUGCCAGCCGCCGCGGUAAAACGUAGGUGGCGAGCGUUAUCCGGAUUUACUGGGCGUAAAGCGUGUGCAGGCGGGGGUCCAAGUGGUGUAUGAAAUCGCCCGGCUUAACCGGGCGGGGUUAUGCCAGACUGGACUUCUGGAGUGCGAGAGAGGGGCGUGGAAUUCCGGGUGUAGUGGUGAAAUGCGUAGAGAUCCGGAGGAACCCCAGAGGCGAAGGCGGCGCCCUGGCUCGCAACUGACGCUCAGACACGACAGCAUGGGGAGCGAACGGGAUUAGAAACCCCGGUAGUCC
rnacentral:rRNA from 1 species